AAAGAAAGUAAGCAAGGGCGCAUGGCGGAUGCCUUGGCUCUCGGAGGCGAUGAAGGACGUGAUAAGCUGCGAUAAGCUCUGGGUAGGUGCAAAUAACCUUUGAUCCAGAGAUUUCCGAAUGGGACAACCCGGCAUUCUGAAGGAAUGUCAUCCAUCUUUGAUGGAAGCUAACGCAGGGAACUGAAACAUCUUAGUACCUGUAGGAAAAGAAAAUAAUAAUGAUUCCCCUAGUAGUGGCGAGCGAACGGGGAAUAGCCCAAACCACCCAUGUUACGGCAUGUGUGGGGUUGUAGGACCACGAUAUCGCAAGACAUUUGAUGAGUAGAAUCCUCUGGAAAGUGGAACCAUAGACGGUGAUAGUCCGGUAUACGAAGUCAAAUUAAGCGUAGUGGUAUCCUGAGUAGCGCGGGACACGAGAAAUCUUGCGUGAAUCUGCCGGGACCAUCCGGUAAGGCUAAAUACUCCCGAGAGACCGAUAGCGAACCAGUACUGUGAAGGAAAGGUGAAAAGCACUUCGAAUAGAAGAGUGAAAUAGUCCCUGAAACCGUGCGCCUACAAGCGGUCGGAGCUGCGUAAGCAGUGACGGCGUGCCUUUUGCAUAAUGAACCUACGAGUUACUUUUUCCGGCAAGGUUAAGCAUCUUGAGAUGCGCAGCCGAAGCGAAAGCGAGUCUGAACAGGGCGUCGAGUCGGAAGGAGUAGACGCGAAACCAAGUGAUCUACCCUUGGUCAGGUUGAAGGUUAGGUAACACUAACUGGAGGACCGAACCGAUAAGCGUUGAAAAGCUUCCGGAUGAACUGAGGGUGGGGGUGAAAGGCUAAUCAAACUUGGAGAUAGCUCGUACUCCCCGAAAUGCAUUUAGGUGCAGCCUUGUGAGUUACUAAUGUGAGGUAGAGCGACUGAUAAGAUGCGAGGGCUUCACCGCCUAUCAAGUCUUGAUAAACUCCGAAUGCGCAUUAGUUCUAUCACAGGAGUGAGGGCAUGGGUGCUAAGGUCCAUGUCCUAAAGGAGAAGAAUCCAGACCAUCAGCUAAGGUCCCCAAAUAAACACUAAGUUGAACUAACGAAGUCAGAUUGCUAAGACAGCUAGGAUGUUGGCUUGGAAGCAGCCAUUCAUUUAAAGAGUGCGUAACAGCUCACUAGUCGAGGAGUUUGGCGUGGAUAAUAAUCGGGCAUUAAGUGUUUUACCGAAGCUAUGGGAUCAGUAAUGAUCGGUAGGGGAGCAUUCCACUCUGCGUCGAAGGUGAAGCGUGAGCUUUGCUGGAGCGUGUGGAAAAGCAAAUGUAGGUAUAAGUAACGAUAAAGGGGGUGAGAAACCCCCUCGCCGAAAGACUAAGGUUUCCUGAUCAACGCUAAUCGGAUCAGGGUUAGUCGGGUCCUAAGGCUCAGCCGAACGGUGAGGCCGAUGGCAGAACAGGUUAAUAUUCCUGUACUACCUUAAGGAGUGACGUGGAGACGGAGGCGUGACAGCGCCGCGGACUGACGGAAUAGUCCGUUGAAGGGUGUAGAUGUUGAUUAUCCCAGGCAAAUCCGGGAUAAGAGUCGAACCUGAUAGUAUGGAGCGUUCUUCGGAACAAUCCAAUAGUGCGUGUAAUCAUACUCCCAAGAAAAUCCGCUAAACUUAAUCCUUGAGGUACCCGUACCGCAAACGGACACACGUAGUCGGGUUGAAUAUACUAAGGCGCUUGAGUGAUUCACGGUUAAGGAACUAGGCAAAUUGACCCUGUAACUUCGGGAUAAAGGGUCCCAACGAGAGUUGGGCGCAGAGAAUAGGUCCAGGCAACUGUUUAACAAAAACACAGGGCUGUGCCAAAUUGAAAGAUUACGUAUACAGCCUGACACCUGCCCGGUGCUGGAAGGUUAAGAGGAGAUGUCAUCGCAAGAGAAGCAUUGAAUUGAAGCCCC
rnacentral:rRNA from 1 species